AGAGUUUGAUCAUGGCUCAGAUUGAACGCUGGCGGCAGGCCUAACACAUGCAAGUCGAGCGGUAGCACAGAGAGCUUGCUCUCGGGUGACGAGCGGCGGACGGGUGAGUAAUGUCUGGGAAACUGCCUGAUGGAGGGGGAUAACUACUGGAAACGGUAGCUAAUACCGCAUAAUGUCGCAAGACCAAAGUGGGGGACCUUCGGGCCUCAUGCCAUCAGAUGUGCCCAGAUGGGAUUAGCUAGUAGGUGGGGUAACGGCUCACCUAGGCGACGAUCCCUAGCUGGUCUGAGAGGAUGACCAGCCACACUGGAACUGAGACACGGUCCAGACUCCUACGGGAGGCAGCAGUGGGGAAUAUUGCACAAUGGGCGCAAGCCUGAUGCAGCCAUGCCGCGUGUGUGAAGAAGGCCUUCGGGUUGUAAAGCACUUUCAGCGGGGAGGAAGGCGUUAAGGUUAAUAACCUUGGCGAUUGACGUUACCCGCAGAAGAAGCACCGGCUAACUCCGUGCCAGCAGCCGCGGUAAUACGGAGGGUGCAAGCGUUAAUCGGAAUUACUGGGCGUAAAGCGCACGCAGGCGGUCUGUCAAGUCGGAUGUGAAAUCCCCGGGCUCAACCUGGGAACUGCAUUCGAAACUGGCAGGCUAGAGUCUUGUAGAGGGGGGUAGAAUUCCAGGUGUAGCGGUGAAAUGCGUAGAGAUCUGGAGGAAUACCGGUGGCGAAGGCGGCCCCCUGGACAAAGACUGACGCUCAGGUGCGAAAGCGUGGGGAGCAAACAGGAUUAGAUACCCUGGUAGUCCACGCCGUAAACGAUGUCGAUUUGGAGGUUGUGCCCUUGAGGCGUGGCUUCCGGAGCUAACGCGUUAAAUCGACCGCCUGGGGAGUACGGCCGCAAGGUUAAAACUCAAAUGAAUUGACGGGGGCCCGCACAAGCGGUGGAGCAUGUGGUUUAAUUCGAUGCAACGCGAAGAACCUUACCUGGUCUUGACAUCCACAGAACUUAGCAGAGAUGCUUUGGUGCCUUCGGGAACUGUGAGACAGGUGCUGCAUGGCUGUCGUCAGCUCGUGUUGUGAAAUGUUGGGUUAAGUCCCGCAACGAGCGCAACCCUUAUCCUUUGUUGCCAGCGGUCCGGCCGGGAACUCAAAGGAGACUGCCAGUGAUAAACU
rnacentral:rRNA from 1 species